rnacentral:rRNA from 1 species
GCUCAACCGAAGAAGUGCAUCGGAAACUGGGAGACUUGAGUGCAGAAGAGGACAGUGGAACUCCAUGUGUAGCGGUGAAAUGCGUAGAUAUAUGGAAGAACACCAGUGGCGAAGGCGGCUGUCUGGUCUGUAACUGACGCUGAGGCUCGAAAGUAUGGGUAGCAAACAGGAUUAGAUACCCUGGUAGUCCAUACCGUAAACGAUGAAUGCUAAGUGUUGGAGGGUUUCCGCCCUUCAGUGCUGCAGCUAACGCAUUAAGCAUUCCGCCUGGGGAGUACGGCCGCAAGGCUGAAACUCAAAGGAAUUGACGGGGGCCCGCACAAGCGGUGGAGCAUGUGGUUUAAUUCGAAGCUACGCGAAGAACCUUACCAGGUCUUGACAUACUAUGCAAAUCUAAGAGAUUAGACGUUCCCUUCGGGGACAUGGAUACAGGUGGUGCAUGGUUGUCGUCAGCUCGUGUCGUGAGAUGUUGGGUUAAGUCCCGCAACGAGCGCAACCCUUAUUAUCAGUUGCCAGCAUUAAGUUGGGCACUCUGGUGAGACUGCCGGUGACAAACCAGAGGAAGGUGGGGAUGACGUCAAAUCAUCAUGCCCCUUAUGACCUGGGCUACACACGUGCUACAAUGGAUGGUACAACG